rnacentral:rRNA from 1 species
GACGAACGCUGGCGGCGUGCUUAACACAUGCAAGUCGAACGCUGAAGCCCUUCGGGGUGGAUGAGUGGCGAACGGGUGGGUAACACGUGGGUAAUCUGCCCUGCACUCUGGGAUAAGCCUUGGAAACGGGGUCUAAUACCGGAUAGGACACAUCGCCGCAUGGUGUGUGUGUGGAAAGUUCCGGCGGUGCAGGUUGAGCCCGCGGCCUAUCAGCUUGUUGGUGGGGUGAUGGCCUACCAAGGCGACGACGGGUAGCCGGCCUGAGAGGGUGACCGGCCACACUGGGACUGAGACACGGCCCAGACUCCUACGGGAGGCAGCAGUGGGGAAUCUUGCGCAAUGGGGGAAAGCCGGACGCAGCAACGCCGCGUGGGGGAUGACGGCCUUCGGGUUGUAAACCUCUUUCGACCGGGACGAAGGAUUCGUUUGACGGUACCGGUAGAAGAAGCACCGGCUAACUACGUGCCAGCAGCCGCCGUAAUAC